GAUAAACAAGCAGUUCAAACACUAAAGCUGGAGAGAUACUGAGAAAAUUAGCAUGACCCCUGAUGCAAGAAUGAUAUACAAAACUGUGAAAGUGCUCCUCUUUGU